UACGGGGGGGGGCAAGCGUUGUUCGGAAUUACUGGGCGUAAAGGGCUCGUAGGCGGCCAACUAAGUCCGACGUGAAAUCCCCAGGCUUAACCUGGGAACUGCGUCGGAUACUGGAUGGCUUGAAUUCGGGAGAGGGAUGCAGAAUUCCAGGUGUAGCGGUGAAAUGCGUAGAUAUCUGGAGGAAUACCGGUGGCGAAGGCGGCAUCCUGGACCGACAUUGACGCUGAUGAGCGAAAGCUAGGGGGAGCAAACGGG
rnacentral:rRNA from 1 species